rnacentral:ncRNA from 1 species
CUACAGGCCCGGUGCGCGCAAGGGUCGCCGCCCGGGCGAGGAGAGAUGCGCGCCGCACAUGCCCCGUUCGCGGGGCCGGGGAAGCCGUUCGAGCAGCGUCGUGUCGCGGUCCGGGACUGUCCUCAGUCCCGGGUCGUCUCGGCGCGGUUCCGAGCGGUCGCUCCCUCGCGAGGUGCCGCGGGUCAGCGGCUGACGCCAGCCACCUUCCCGACCCGUCUUGAAACACGGACCAAGGAGUCUAACAUGUGCGCGAGCCGCGGGGCAGUACGAAACCCGUAAGGCGAAAUGAAGGUGAACGCCGGCGCGGUCCGGCGGAGGUUGGAUCCCGUCCCGUCGGGGCGGGCGCACUACCGGCCGAUCUUCUCCGCCCUGUCGGCGAGGUCGAGCGAGAGCGUGCAAGUCGGGACCCGAAAGAUGGUGAACUAUGCCUGAGGAGGUUGAAGCCAGAGGAAACUCUGGUGGAGGACCGUAGCGAUUCUGACGUGCAAAUCGAUCGUCAAAUUUGGGUAUAGGGGCGAAAGACUAAUCGAACCGUCUAGUAGCUGGUUCCCUUCGAAGUUUCCCUCAGGAUAGCUGGCGCUCUGUCGCAGUUUUAUCUGGUAAAGCGAAUGAUUAGAGGUCUUGGGGGCGAAACGCCCUCAACCUAUUCUCAAACUUUAAAUUGGUAAGAAGCCCGACU